GUGCUGAAAGCAUCUAAGCACGAAACUUGCCCCGAGAUGAGUUCUCCCUGACUCCCUGAGAGUCCUGAAGGAACGUUGAAGACGACGACGUUGAUAGGCCGGGUGUGUAAGCGCAGCGAUGCGUUGAGCUAACCGGUACUAAUGAACCGUGAGGCUUAACCUUACAACGCCGAAG
rnacentral:rRNA from 1 species